rnacentral:tmRNA from 1 species
GGGGCCGAUUUGGUUUCGACGGUGAUCUGUUCGCUUCGGAGAAGCGUGCCGAGAAUGUAGAGUCCGCUCGUGAUGUGCUCUGCAAUUUAAAUUAAGUGCUAAAUCUAACCGCACUGAGUUCGCUCUCGCUGCCUGAUUUUCAACGUAAUCAGAUCUAAUCCAGCGAGCGUGGCUCCGUCCGCUCUCCCGGGUCUUCGGGGAGAGGUCGGGCGUCGUUAGAGGACUUGCCUACGUCACUGAACCGCAGGGUGACGUGGGGACUUUGACUGUGGCUAGGCUCGCCAUCAGU